GCGGUUUGUUAAGUCAGAUGUGAAAGCCCGGGGCUCAACCUCGGAACCGCAUUUGAAACUGGCAGGCUAGAGUCUUGUAGAGGGGGGUAGAAUUUCAGGUGUAGCGGUGAAAUGCGUAGAGAUCUGAAGGAAUACCAGUGGCGAAGGCGGCCCCCUGGACAAAGACUGACGCUCAGAUGCGAAAGCGUGGGUAGCAAACAGGAUUAGAUACCCUGGUAGUCCACGCCGUAAACGCUGUCUACUUGGAGGUUGAGGUUUAGACUUUGGCUUUCGGCGCUAACGCAUUAAGUAGACCGCCUGGGGAGUACGGCCGCAAGGUUAAAACUCAAAUGAAUUGACGGGGGCCCGCACAAGCGGUGGAGCAUGUGGUUUAAUUCGAUGCAACGCGAAGAACCUUACCUACUCUUGACAUCCAGCGAAUCCUUUAGAGAUAGAGGAGUGCCUUCGGGAGCGCUGAGACAGGUGCUGCAUGGCUGUCGUCAGCUCGUGUUGUGAAAUGUUGGGUUAAGUCCCGCAACGAGCGCAACCCUUAUCCUUGUUUGCCAGCACGUAAUGGUGGGAACUCCAGGGAGACUGCCGGUGAUAAACCGGAGGAAGGUGGGGACGACGUCAAGUCAUCAUGGCCCUUACGAGUAGGGCUACACACGUGCUACAAUGGCAGAUACAGAGGGCAGCGAAGCUGCGAAGUGGAGCGAAUCCCUUAAAGUUUGUCGUAGUCCGGAUUGGAGUCUGCAACUC
rnacentral:rRNA from 1 species